AGUGAUGAUGGUGCCCCAGGCGUGUGUCUUUCUAGAAGGGAAAGCACAUCCACAUGAAGUCAUGUCCGCGGCGUGCUCUCAAGAAGCAUUGCUGGGCCCUCUGCUGCCCUGCCUGGGAGCGCUUCUGUGAGCCCUGGCUGGGCUGGGCUGCUGUCCUGCCGUCAUUUGCCCUGUCCUUCCUGGACCCAGCCCUCAUGUUCAGGCCCCUGAGAUGUCCAGAGCAGGGCUGUUUCUGCUGAUUGCAGCCCUGUUUCUGAUUCCUGGGCCUUGUUGUGAUGAACUGAAAUUGACAAUCCAACCUGGAAACCUCUGCAGUCUUCCUGACCAAUCAACUAGACUAGAGCUCCAAUCCAGGGAUUGAUUAUCCGUUCUCUUCCCCUACUUCCCCAUUCUCGGACGAUUUUCUUCUCUAAUAUCUUAUAGGAGGCAAAGUUACAAACAAAAAUACUUCCACCAAGAACUCUCUUACUUUCCCCUUUUUUCAGCUUUCCUAGGGGACGCGCCCGCCCUCUACCAGCCCACCUCAUGAACAGAGGCAGAAGUGUUUCUGCUGUACGGUAAAAUCCUGUGGUGUGUGCAAUGCAGGGAUCUUCUCAAAGUCACUGUCCCCCUGGAAACUGCAAAUCAGUCACUCCAUCCCUUACAGGGCAUGGACAGAAAGCAAGUUCUCUAAAGCCAGGCAAAGCAGAAAGCUCUAGAAACAGACCAGGAGACAAGACGCCUAGAUAAACCUGCUACUCAGGUUGCUGGCUAAGAGGGUCACUGCUAGUAGGAAAAGGGAAUCGUCGUCUCUAUGUCGCUAAGGGCUCAUCUUCAUGAUCUCCAAACCUCCCCUAUUCAAAUUCACAGGGAGACAGAAGCAGGUUUGUAGGCACAGUUUCAAGCUCUCUGGUCCAGACAUAGCUCUAAGGCCUACCCAGGACAGUGUGUGCAGAAGAUGUCCUGGUGGCAAAGCCGCAGCACACAGGGAAGUGCCUCUGUGAUGAAGACACUGCUAGAGCACAACCCACAGCCAUGGGUGCCAGAGCCACUGAAAACAGCACACCUGCUGCCGGCGGGGGAGCUGACGCCUCAGUGGAUAAGGAGAAGACGCAUUUCAGUUUUACACUGAUUACUAUCUCACGCUGACUGUGAAAGGCUUUCCGUGCCAUAGAGAGCAUCCCCACUGCCCACAGGCUUGGGAGAGAUGUCAGGGGCUUCACCAGACAGUGCCUGGCAAGGCAGGUGAUGAUGACUCCCUUUGAGGGCCACAGCGGGUGCAGUCGGUCACUAGCACAUGGUGGCCAGGCUCUCAUGCACUCUAAGCCAUCACCCUUUCAAUGGCCUCAAUGCAAGUUCCUGUGUAAUUCAAGGAUAAAGUGCAGGAGGAGGCUUUGACCCACCUGCACUGUGUCAGAGGAAGGGGAGCUUCUGCAUAGAGGAGUCAGUUCCCAGCAGGCAGACUUGGCAAGCUUUACAAUCUAGGACUAAAAGCCACACACACACAAGGAAUAUGCAGUCAGGAGUUUUAAAAGAAAAACAUUUGUAUCCAAAGACACAAGUGAAAUAAGACACUGACUAUUCAGUCCCCUAAAUUUCAUUCUACAGUUGGAAAUGUACAAAGCAAACCUGGCUCAUUUUAUAUAAAAUUUAUCUUCUGUGAACUUUGGGUACAAUCCCACUACCAAAGGCAUUCCACUGGACCUGGAUUGAGUACGUCUCUAUCUUUUAAGUAUUAACCUAAGAAAUUGUGGAUACACCCCACACCUAACAGAAUCAACCAAGAGAAGCAGCUUUGGUGACAAAAAGGGAGCUCACGAUGAGGACAGCUGCAUUCAGCACCCACAGAUCUUUGGCUAGCCUGAGCACUGCCUCAGGGCACAGCAGGAAAACGCUGGCAGGUUGCAGAGCCCAGCUGUCCACCCCAUCACCAUGGACGGCCCCAUAUAUAGGCAGAUUUGAGAGGGGUGGAUCAGAACUCACCAACAAACUCUUCAUGGCAUGAAUAAUGAUUUUCCCCCUUUGUGAGAACCAACCCCUCCCAGAAAGGAGCCUGGGAACUGCAUGGCCUGGGGCGGGGCCUACCCAGGGCGGUGCCCCAGCCACAGCACCAGCCCCUCCGGGCGGAGAACAACAAGGUCUAUUGGUCUAUGUAAUGCUGGUGCCAAACAAUAAGAAAAACCAACAAAACACUGACCUUGGUCCACAGACAACACCCACGUCCACGUGGUGGGUGGGACUGGCUCCGUCAGAGGAUGGGAAGAUGAGAAGUGCUUGUCGCAGGCCUGGAGAUGGGGACCACCCAGGCAUGCAGGGGAUGCUGCCUCUCCUCCAUCCAACAACAAGCCUGCGUGUGCCCAGCCCCCUCUGGUACACGCAUUGCUCCCCAUCCUCGGCAUUGAUCAAUUGAAAAUAAGACCUUGGAAGAACCCCUUGCAAAGCUGACAUUGUACGAGCCAAGGCAGGUAAUAAAGCGUAGAUACAGUGAGGGAGGGGGCGGAUGGCAUGACAAGUCAGAGGGUGAUGCCUGCGGCGGGGAUGCACUGAGAAUAGAGAGGGCAGGUGCGGGGCUGGAGACACACUCCUGAGAGGGAGAUGGGAGAGAGGGCGCCUCGCGGAUCCCGAGGAAGGCUGAAGACAGGAGAAGGGAGGGGUCGCACACGUUAAACGCUGCCGAAAGGCCAGGAGAGAUUAAGACAGAAAUGAAUCACUGGAUUCGGCCAGGCUGCGGUUAUUGACAACAGUGGGAAGAGCAGGUUUGGCGCCGCGGUGCCCGCAUUUGGGGUGGCGAGAACGUGAAGGAGGACCUGGCCGUGGGGUCAGCUGCACAGGCCAGGAGCUCGAGGGUGGUGGCUGGCAGAAAGUGCAGUCCAAAGUACUCUGUUUUGUUUUGAUUGUGUUUUAAAAUGGGACAAAUAACAGCAUGUGUGUUUGCUGAUGGGGAGAAUCCAGGAGAAAAACAGUGAAGUUGAGGGUGAGCAGAGCUGUGCUGGCAGAAAGCUGCACACGGGGCGGGCAGGCCAGGCCACGGACUGGCUCUGCGGGGCGGGGAUGUGCAUCGUGGUCCCCAGUGUGGAGGGCAGGGCCCUGGAUACAGGGGCCGGGGCACCCGUGGACAGGGCAGGGGGAGGAGACCGAGACUUCCUUCAGAUCACCCCCACCUUGCCAGGGACCAGGAGAGAGCAAGGCUGGUGCUCAGCGGGAGGGUGAGGCCCGAGCUGGUGCAGGUUGAGGAGAGGGAGAAGGCACCAGUGUCAGCCAGGAGAUGGGUAGGAGACCAUGAGGGAGGCGCAUGAGGCUGGCUGGUGGCAUGAUGCGGCCUGCUGGACUGUCUCUGUGGGUGGUUUUGAGAUUUUUACCAGUGAUGACCAGUUGUGUAAUUGCACACAGAGAUGGAAGAGAAUAAGAUUUAACCAAGCAAGUUCAAUAAACAGAAAUCCAAAAAUGGUGAGAUUGCAGGCAAGGCAGUGUUAAAAAUGAUUUGUCAUGGAAUUCAAAUAUGUAAGGUGGAGAGUUUGGACAGCUGGAGGAUGGGAGACUGACCCCAAAACAGUGAUAGGAUCAAUGGGUUAGAGCUGGCAGCAGGGCCAGCAGAUUGUAUGAACCCCUUUCCCAGAGGGUGAGUGGAGAGGACAGGAGGAGGUGGCCAAAGCAUGGGUGCAGAGGCUGAGCUGACAGGGGCUGUGCUGAGGAUGAGGCAGCCCUGCAGUGGAGCCGAGGAGGCUGGAAGACAGGGUGCCAGGCUGAGGGCCUGAGGCCAGGCUUCGAGAGAGAUGGGGUGCAGACAGGGAAGCCACCAGGAGAUUAUGCAAGUCAGCACUGAGUGGUCCCAUAAGUUCUUAGGAUCUCCAGUUUAUGGCUUUAGCAGAAAUGGAACUCCCUUCCCCUCACAGUGAGCCUCACAGGGUCAGGGGGAAGACAGGGGAUCCCGAAGAUAACGUCUGCUACGAACUCAAUUGCAUCCGCCCCGGGCCCUAAGUUGAAGCCCUAAUCCCCACGUUGACUGCAUUUGGAGAAGGACCUUCAGCACAUGAUGGAGGGUAAGUGAGGUCACCAGGCUGGGGCCCUCAUCUGCUGGGGAUCCUUCUAAGAAGCAGAAGAGGCACCGGGGUGAGUGAGCACCGAGGAAAGCCAGGCGGGCAUGCAGCCAGGGGCGGCCAUCUGCAGCCGGGAGGAG
rnacentral:lncRNA from 1 species